rnacentral:rRNA from 1 species
UAACCGGCGAUUUCCGAAUGGGGAAACCCAGUGUGUUUCGACACACUAUCAUUAACUGAAUCCAUAGGUUAAUGAGGCGAACCGGGGGAACUGAAACAUCUAAGUACCCCGAGGAAAAGAAAUCAACCGAGAUUCCCCCAGUAGCGGCGAGCGAACGGGGAGGAGCCCAGAGCCUGAAUCAGUGUGUGUGUUAGUGGAAGCGUCUGGAAAGGCGCGCGAUACAGGGUGACAGCCCCGUACACAAAAAUGCACAUGCUGUGAGCUCGAUGAGUAGGGCGGGACACGUGGUAUCCUGUCUGAAUAUGGGGGGACCAUCCUCCAAGGCUAAAUACUCCUGACUGACCGAUAGUGAACCAGUACCGUGAGGGAAAGGCGAAAAGAACCCCGGCGAGGGGAGUGAAAAAGAACCUGAAACCGUGUACGUACAAGCAGUGGGAGCCUCUUAAUGGGGUGACUGCGUACCUUUUGUAUAAUGGGUCAGCGACUUAUAUUCUGUAGCAAGGUUAACCGAAUAGGGGAGCCGAAGGGAAACCGAGUCUUAACUGGGCGUUAAGUUGCAGGGUAUAGACCCGAAACCCGGUGAUCUAGCCAUGGGCAGGUUGAAGGUUGGGUAACACUAACUGGAGGACCGAACCGACUAAUGUUGAAAAAUUAGCGGAUGACUUGUGGCUGGGGGUGAAAGGCCAAUCAAACCGGGAGAUAGCUGGUUCUCCCCGAAAGCUAUUUAGGUAGCGCCUCGUGAAUUCAUCUCCGGGGGUAGAGCACUGUUUCGGCAAGGGGGUCAUCCCGACUUACCAACCCGAUGCAAACUGCGAAUACCGGAGAAUGUUAUCACGGGAGACACACGGCGGGUGCUAACGUCCGUCGUGAAGAGGGAAACAACCCAGACCGCCAGCUAAGGUCCCAAAGUCAUGGUUAAGUGGGAAACGAUGUGGGAAGGCCCAGACAGCCAGGAUGUUGGCUUAGAAGCAGCCAUCAUUUAAAGAAAGCGUAAUAGCUCACUGGUCGAGUCGGCCUGCGCGGAAGAUGUAACGGGGCUAAACCAUGCACCGAAGCUGCGGCAGCGACACUAUGUGUUGUUGGGUAGGGGAGCGUUCUGUAAGCCUGUGAAGGUGUGCUGUGAGGCAUGCUGGAGGUAUCAGAAGUGCGAAUGCUGACAUAAGUAACGAUAAAGCGGGUGAAAAGCCCGCUCGCCGGAAGACCAAGGGUUCCUGUCCAACGUUAAUCGGGGCAGGGUGAGUCGACCCCUAAGGCGAGGCCGAAAGGCGUAGUCGAUGGGAAACAGGUUAAUAUUCCUGUACUUGGUGUUACUGCGAAGGGGGGACGGAGAAGGCUAUGUUGGCCGGGCGACGGUUGUCCCGGUUUAAGCGUGUAGGCUGGUUUUCCAGGCAAAUCCGGAAAACCAAGGCUGAGGCGUGAUGACGAGGCACUACGGUGCUGAAGCGACAAAUGCCCUGCUUCCAGGAAAAGCCUCUAAGCAUCAGGUAACAUCAAAUCGUACCCCAAACCGACACAGGUGGUCAGGUAGAGAAUACCAAGGCGCUUGAGAGAACUCGGGUGAAGGAACUAGGCAAAAUGGUGCCGUAACUUCGGGAGAAGGCACGCUGAUAUGUAGGUGAAGCGACUUGCUCGUGGAGCUGAAAUCAGUCGAAGAUACCAGCUGGCUGCAACUGUUUAUUAAAAACACAGCACUGUGCAAACACGAAAGUGGACGUAUACGGUGUGACGCCUGCCCGGUGCCGGAAGGUUAAUUGAUGGGGUUAGCGGUAACGCGAAGCUCUUGAUCGAAGCCCCGGUAAACGGCGGCCGUAACUAUAACGGUCCUAAGGUAGCGAAAUUCCUUGUCGGGUAAGUUCCGACCUGCACGAAUGGCGUAAUGAUGGCCAGGCUGUCUCCACCCGAGACUCAGUGAAAUUGAACUCGCUGUGAAGAUGCAGUGUACCCGCGGCAAGACGGAAAGACCCCGUGAACCUUUACUAUAGCUUGACACUGAACAUUGAGCCUUGAUGUGUAGGAUAGGUGGGAGGCUUUGAAGUGUGGACGCCAGUCUGCAUGGAGCCGACCUUGAAAUACCACCCUUUAAUGUUUGAUGUUCUAACGUUGGCCCGUAAUCCGGGUUGCGGACAGUGUCUGGUGGGUAGUUUGACUGGGGCGGUCUCCUCCUAAAGAGUAACGGAGGAGCACGAAGGUUGGCUAAUCCUGGUCGGACAUCAGGAGGUUAGUGCAAUGGCAUAAGCCAGCUUGACUGCGAGCGUGACGGCGCGAGCAGGUGCGAAAGCAGGUCAUAGUGAUCCGGUGGUUCUGAAUGGAAGGGCCAUCGCUCAACGGAUAAAAGGUACUCCGGGGAUAACAGGCUGAUACCGCCCAAGAGUUCAUAUCGACGGCGGUGUUUGGCACCUCGAUGUCGGCUCAUCACAUCCUGGGGCUGAAGUAGGUCCCAAGGGUAUGGCUGUUCGCCAUUUAAAGUGGUACGCGAGCUGGGUUUAGAACGUCGUGAGACAGUUCGGUCCCUAUCUGCCGUGGGCGCUGGAGAACUGAGGGGGGCUGCUCCUAGUACGAGAGGACCGGAGUGGACGCAUCACUGGUGUUCGGGUUGUCAUGCCAAUGGCACUGCCCGGUAGCUAAAUGCGGAAGAGAUAAGUGCUGAAAGCAUCUAAGCACGAAACUUGCCCCGAGAUGAGUUCUCCCUGAGACUUAGAGUCUCCUGAAGGAACGUUGAAGACGACGACGUUGAUAGGCCGGGUGUGUAAGCGCAGCGAUGCGUUGAGCUAACCGGUACUAAUGAACCGUGAGGCUUAACCU